GGAUGAAUAUUGGUCAAUGGACGCAAGUCUGAACCAGCCACGCCGCGUGCAGGAAGACGGCUCUAUGAGUUGUAAACUGCUUUUGUACGAGGGUAAACUCACCUACGUGUAGGUGACUGAAAGUAUCGUACGAAUAAGGAUCGGCUAACUCCGUGCCAGCAGCCGCGGUAAUACGGAGGAUUCAAGCGUUAUCCGGAUUUAUUGGGUUUAAAGGGUGCGUAGGCGGUUUGAUAAGUUAGAGGUGAAAUCC
rnacentral:rRNA from 1 species